rnacentral:lncRNA from 1 species
CAUUGCUCGAAACACAGCAGUAACACAUGCCAAACUCAGCAUUAGUCCGUAUUUAUUUUGGGCGCAGAUGUAUUAUUUGGAUUCUCUCUUUGUACACACCAAGUGGUGACGGUUCAUUAGUAGUGAAUACAGCAGUCAAUAUUCAAGGAAGGACUUUUGGUAAGUGCUUUUAAAAAAACCAUUCAGUAUUAUACCUUAGAGUGCACUAGUAAAUUAAUUCACAUGUCAAAAUAAUAAUUGGCAGUUACAAACAAAUUCAUUAGGUCUUUUUCUCAGCAAGACAUCAGUCAUCACAAUCAAUUAAUACUAAUCUGAAUAUUAUUUGUUGUUAUAAUUUUCUCCACAUUAAAUUUGGAAAUUUGUUUUAGUGAUUUAGUUACAUGUAUAAGAACUAACUAUAAAGUUUUUUUCCCAGUUUUCUAUUUGUACACAUUAAUGUAACGGAAUAAUAAACAUAAUUAAAUCAAAAAAGGAUGUCCUUUAAAGGGGGUGCAUACAUUAUUAAACUUUGAGAAACACCGGCUCAAACUACACAAACAUGCAGUGGUCUUAGUCUUCCCGACGACACUCCUAAAAUAUUCUCUGUAAGACAGGAAAUCUUCCCAAAUGUGCAAACCAGGGAGAACCCGCUGUUGGACAGUCAGCCUGCAAGCUGAGGCUGGAGAGGCCUGUCUGAAUCCUCCACUCUCAGUCUCCAGCCUCACCAAAGGCUAGGCUUCCCCUCUUCACAGCUGCUCCUGCGGCUUCCUUGCCAGAGCCAACCUUUCCAGCCAAGGAAGGUGGCUGGACUAGCGGGAACGAGAGAACAAGCUUGACAGGAGGUCCUGGGAAACCCAAGGAGGGAAUGAGCCUUUUCACACAUGCCUCCCCUGAGCGGUGGAGGCCCAGUGUGGGAACACAGCCUCCAUCUGCUACUGUUGCUGCCCGGGAACCACAGUCAUCGUGGGCUUGUGAACGAACAAGCUCCUGUCGGGGCUGCCUGUGCUGCCAGGGCCCGAUCGUCGCAGCCACCGAACAUCUGGGCCCCAGACCCACAGCAUCUGUGUUGCUUUCUCACUGACACCAGCAUCUCCCUUGACCAAACCACGCCACACACAAACCAGAUUCCACUUACGAACGCUGUGCUUGGCUGCUUUUAUAACUAAGAGCAAGAAAACACUUGUUCUUUCUGCAUCUUGAUUGGCAUUUGGACCUCGACUGAAUUAUUUAAUGAAUUAAUUAAUGAUUUGGAAACCCUGAUUAGCAGCAGAGUCAUGCUGGCUUCUUGGGGAAAAUAUAUUAUUCAAGGUGAAGAACUGAAAAAUCAUUCACAUUUGAUUAUCUGGCUCCAUGAACCAACACAUAAGCUAAAAACAAACACACACAAACACCACCACCCCUAGACAAAGAGAUUUUGGGAAUUGUCUCAUCUUUUCCAAAACUUACAAAUAUGUUGAUGUUACGGUGCUGGACUUGACCUUAGAGUCUUCUGGUUCUAUCCCCUAGUUUUACAGAUGAAGGAACUGAAACCCAGGGUGAAAGAAUAACUUUUCCAAUGCAACAUAGUUAACAAGCAGCAAAACUAGGCUAAAACCAGCUCUCCUGACUGCAGACCAGGGAUCUUUCCUAACUUAAAGAAAAUAUAACAGACCAUUUCUUCUAGUUCCCCUCUCACCAUCCAGCGGCUCUCAAGCAUGGCACCUGCAUAUGAUAAAUAAGCCACCACAUGUAGCCCCAGAUUUGGGUCAUUCGACUCAACUGAGCAAACCCACUGUUUGGCAGCAUCAGUCAGAUGGAGCUGAACUGAGUAGCCAGGGGCCCAGGAAACAAGGGCACAACUCGAGGCACUGGUCAGGCCCCUCGACAAAGAACAAUAGUGGGCUUGUUGCAACAUGACUUGUGAAGAUGCAGGGAUGGGGUCAGUUGCCAUGGUCUGAAUUAUGUCCCCUGAAAGUCAUCUAGAAGACUCCACCCGUAGCACCCAUGAAUGUGACCUUACUUGAAAACAGGGUCUUUGCAGAUACAACCCCAUUAAGAUGAGAUGACUAGGGUGGGCCGUAAUCUAAUAUGAUUGGCGUCCUUCUACAAAGAGGAAGACAGACAUGGGGACAGAUGUACUCAGAGGGGAGACGUGAAGACACACAGGGAAAAGCCGGGUGAGGACAGGGGCAGAGACGGAAUGAUGCACCCACAAGCUGAGAAGCUCCAAGCUGGAAACCACCAGAAGCUGGAAGAGACAAUGAAGGAUCCUCCUGACAGGUUUCAGAGGGAGCACUGCCCCACCCACAACUUGAGCUUGGACUUCUGGCCUCCACAGCUUCUGUUGUUUUAAGCCACUCAUUUUUUGGUACUUUGUUAUGGCAACUCUAGGAAAUGAAUACAGGUGGUCAACAGUUUUACUAAAACAGUACAAGGCUCACUUGUUGAGUGGUGAUUUUAGACUUUUAAACUCUUGAAGGGCACCACCAAAAAUUUCUGGAAUCUGAAAGUAUCCUGCAAACAUGAAAUAAGAGAGAACAGCUACCCAGACGCUCUCAUUUCCCCUGCACGCCUACAUUCCUUCUAAUCACUAUUUACACCCUCUCCAGAUCCCACCCCUGCUUCUCUGCCUCCACCGCAAAACAGAAGCCUCUCCCAGCCAUCACCCACAGGAGGCAGGGCUGAAGGCAGGGGAUGGUAAUGCUGACUGUGACCUGGCCCCAUGGCCUCUUCAUGUUACAACCACACACAGGCCUCUCAGUCAGAUAUUCAUUCAGCAAGUAAGUACUGAGCACCUACCACGUGGUGGACAUGGCUCCAGCCUGGGGACACUGUGGGGGGCAACAGACCAGACGGCUGUCCCAGGGAGCGUCCAUCAGAGAUUAAACAGAUAGAUGACUGAUUGACAGAUGCGCAGAUAGGUGACAGAUGGUAUAACAGACAGAUGAUAGGUGACAGAGAAAAAUGACAGAUGACAUGUGACAGAUGAUUGACAGAUAAAUGAUAGACAUGUACAGAGAUGAUAAAUAGAUGAUACAUAGACAACAGAUGAUUGACAGAUAAAUGAUAGGCAAAAAAAGAAGAUUUCAGGUAGUAAUCAAUGUCAGACAGAAAGAAUAGAGUGAGGUGAUGGUGGCCAAUCACGGGGUUAUUUCGUGGUGUCUGGUCAGGGCAGUCACAGAGGAGGGGACCCUCUACCUGGCCUCCGGAUGAAACACCAGUUCCUGCAUCCUGACAGAGGGUGUGACCAGAACCAGGACCCUCAGGAGUGAGAGCAUAUCUGGUGACAGAGACACCCCCAGCAGGUCCCAGCCCGCCCACUUCCAUCACAGGGUUGUCUGCACUGCCUCUUGGAAGCCAGACGUGGCCACGUGACUCACUCUAAGCAAUGAACCCUAAUGGUGCCCACUUCCCCUUCCGCCUUCUGCCAAGGGCCCAAGGCCCAGGUGCAGCCAAAGCCUGGGCAGCCCCAGCAGGGCCUGUCAUGGGCACAGCCUCUGGACCGCCCACACUGCACCUGGAGUUAGGAGACCUGUGCUCUGGUCCCAGCAAAAAUACAUUUUUGUUUUAAACUGUGAAGGUUUGGAGGUUAUUUGUCAGCACAGCACAGCCUGACCCUCCAUCUCCAAAGAGAUCAAAAACUGAAGGAAUGGUGCCUGAAAGUGCUUCCGACGUCAAGCUAUCCUGAAGCACCAAAUUCUCAACUGUUGCCGUAUCUUUCUGUCCCAGCAAAGACCUUAACUCCAAAAAAGGCUCAAGUCUACCAAGAAGGCACCCAAACCUUCUGCACUCGAUAAAUGCAGAAGGUUUGGGUGAGGGCAGCAAAAACAGUGAUUGCCUAAUAACAAAGUGACCAAGGGUCCCUCACGCCAAUAUUGUAGCACUCUUUUUUUUUUUCUGUAAUUGUGAAUCUUCUUGGUAAAGUAAACAUAUACUAAAUUGAA